AUUGAACGCUGGCGGCAUGCUUAACACACGCAAGUCGAACGGCAGCACAGUACGUAGCAAUACGUAUGGGUGGCGAGUGGCGGACGGGUGAGUAACGCGUAGGAAUCUGCCUUGAAGCGGGGGACAACCCGAGGAAACUCGGGCUAAUACCGCAUAAUAUCGAGAGAUUAAAGCUGGGGCAACCUGGCACUUCAAGAGGAGCCUGCGUACGAUUAGCUAGUUGGUAGGGGAAAGGCCUACCAAGGCGAUGAUCGUUAACUGGUCUGAGAGGAUGAUCCGUCACGCUGGAACUGAGACACGGUCCAGACCCCUACGGGAGGCAGCAGUGGGGAAUAUUGGACAAUGGGGGCAACCCUGAUCCAGCAAUGCCGCGUGUGUGAAGAAGGCCUUCGGGUUGUAAAGCACUUUUGGCAGGGAGGAAGAUGUGGAGUUUAAGAGACACUACAUUUGACUGUACCUGCAGAAUAAGCACCGGCUAACUCUGUGCCAGCCGCCGCAGUAA
rnacentral:rRNA from 1 species